rnacentral:lncRNA from 1 species
AUACACAGACACCGCGAGAGAGACAGAGAGGACCGCUCGAAGCCUACCCGACCCUCUCCGGGAGAAGGUGGUGGUCCUUGCUCUUUAAUCCUCUUCUAACUCUCCUCGGUCGCCUGGAACCGCCGCCGGCGUCCGCACAGAGUAGCCCUUCCUGCCGUGGCUUGGGCUCGAGAGGCCCCCCAGAUAUGGCGAUGAAGGCCGCCACUAGUUGCUCCACUUUGACGCCACCGGCGGCGGUUCCUCUGCCGCUCCGGCCUCGGCCGCGGAGGCUUCUCGCCGGCAGCGCUUCCCUCAAAACGUCUUUCUUCAACGGUGGGGGUGAGCGUUUCAUGUCUUUCCCCAUGGUUUGGGCUCGCCGAUCAUUAUUAUUAUUGACCGUUAUCAUCAUCGUCGUCGUCGUCGUCGUUACUAGUUUUUUUUCUCGUUUCCUGUACCUGCGUGCGUUCGGAAUUCCAUUCUGUCUGGUCUUGUGUCAGAAUAGCCACGGUGCGUGUUUCCUCCGUCUGUCCUGGUCGAGCGACUCUUCCUUUAUUUAAUUCCACGCUAAUUGUACAAGCUUUUGUGCAAUAUGGACAGGCGCGACCUUUGGGAAAUGAUGCCGUUUUUUUUGUUCAUCGCUAUCAUGGGAC